CCUUGGCCUCUAAUGCAGCUACAUGGACUAAACCAAGACGUACACCCCCCCACGCGGUCCCGAUCCUUACAUCAAUCUAAAAGGACAGUUACUUUGCGUCGCGAAAAUAACAAGGAUAUAUAUUUUUGUGUGAUGAGUCGAUCUGAAUGGAAGUUUUAAAACUUUUUCUCCUGGCUAACGUAGCUUUGGAACUAAAAGCAUGCUGUUAUUCCGUUCCCUGGAGCCUCGCCGACAAAAUGGGACGUUCCAUGCAUUGAUUUAAUAAUGCUUGACGCGACUGUCAUCAGUGUAAAGGCAAUGGAAGGAGAAGAGCACCACCGUAAGAAAGGACAUGUUUUGUCAUGGAGAAGGCCAAAGAGACGCUGCCACUGCAGAUCUGACCAUGAUGGAGGUGUUGGCACUUUUCCACCAUGGGAUCCUGGAACAUCUGCACGAAGGAUAGUACAUUCGAUUUGGCUUCAAGAUCUUCUCCUGAGCGAUGAAAACAAGCUCAGUUACAGUGUCUUUGCGCAUGACGGAGCUUGGUGUAUGAUAUCUGCUGUGCAAUGUCUACAUGGAUAACCUGCUCGCUCUCCCCCGCGCCGCAAGGUACUACCCGACGCAAUCAUGCACAACCGAACCCAGUGCUUUCUUAAGAGGAUAUAUAAUACAGUUAACCUCCGCAUACUUCUGCUGCUGAGCACCUUUUGAAAGGAUUCUUCAACAGCAGCCACCAAGGAGGUAUAGAAUAAAAUGUAAUAAUAUAAGAAAAUAGAAAUGAAU
rnacentral:lncRNA from 1 species